rnacentral:rRNA from 1 species
UGGGGAAUUUUGGACAAUGGGCGAAAGCCUGAUCCAGCAAUGCCGCGUGUGUGAAGAAGGCCUUCGGGUUGUAAAGCACUUUUGUCCGGAAAGAAAUCCUUGGCUCUAAUACAGUCGGGGGAUGACGGUACCGGAAGAAUAAGCACCGGCUAACUACGUGCCAGCAGCCGCGGUAAUACGUAGGGUGCAAGCGUUAAUCGGAAUUACUGGGCGUAAAGCGUGCGCAGGCGGUUUGCUAAGACCGAUGUGAAAUCCCCGGGCUCAACCUGGGAACUGCAUUGGUGACUGGCAGGCUAGAGUAUGGCAGAGGGGGGUAGAAUUCCACGUGUAGCGGUGAAAUGCGUAGAGAUGUGGAGGAAUACCGAUGGCGAAGGCAGCCCCCUGGGCCAAUACUGACGCUCAUGCACGAAAGCGUGGGGAGCAAACAGGAUUAGAUACCCUGGUAGUCCACGCCCUAAACGAUGUCAACUAGUUGUUGGGGAUUCAUUCCUUAGUAACGUAGCUAACGCGUGAAGUUGACCGCCUGGGGAGUACGGUCGCAAGAUUAAAACUCAAAGGAAUUGACGGGGUCAUAGCUGUUUCCU